UAAAAAUAAAUCUUUAAAAACAAAAAGUUGGAAUGAUUCAGAGAAGACUCGCAUGGCCCCUGGGCAAGGAUGACACACAAAUUCAUGAAGCAUUUGAUAUUUUU